CCAGGGGCUGACGCCCCUGGCUAUUAUCUAUCGCCCCGUUGGGGCU
rnacentral:sRNA from 1 species